rnacentral:rRNA from 1 species
ACCCGUUUUAUUCCCAGCUCCAAAUAGGUUAUAUAAAAGUUGUUGCAGUUAAAAAGCUCGUAGUUGAAUUUCGGGGUCAGUGGGUCGGUCGUGCCACUGGUAUGUACUGGCCCUACUGAUUCCUCCUUCUUGAAGAACUGUAAUGCCAUUAAUUUGGUGUUGCAGGGAAACAGGACUGUUACUUUGAAAAAAUUAGAGUGUUUAAAGCAGGCAAUCGCUUGAAUACAUUAGCAUGGAAUAAUGAAAUAGGACGUUUGAUCCUAUUUUGUUGGUUUCUAGGAUUGACGUAAUGAUUAAUAGGGAUAGUUGGGGGCAUUAGUAUUCAAUUGUCAGAGGUGAAAUUCUUGGAUUUAUUGAAGACUAACUACUGCGAAAGCAUUUGCCAAGGAUGUUUUCAUGGAAUCAAGAACGAAAGUUAGGGGAUCGAAGACGAUCAGAUACCGUCGUAGUCUUAACCAUAAACUAUGCCGACUAGGGAUCGGAUGAUGUUAAUUUUUUAAUGACUCA